rnacentral:rRNA from 1 species
UGGGGAAUUUUGGACAAUGGGGGCAACCCUGAUCCAGCAAUGCCGCGUGAGUGAAGAAGGCCUUCGGGUUGUAAAGCUCUUUUGUCAGGGAAGAAACGGUUGUGGCUAAUAUCCAUGGCUAAUGACGGUACCUGAAGAAUAAGCACCGGCUAACUACGUGCCAGCAGCCGCGGUAAUACGUAGGGUGCAAGCGUUAAUCGGAAUUACUGGGCGUAAAGCGUGCGCAGGCGGUUUUAUAAGACAGAGGUGAAAUCCCCGGGCUCAACCUGGGAACUGCCUUUGUGACUGUAAGGCUAGAGUGUGUCAGAGGGGGGUAGAAUUCCACGUGUAGCAGUGAAAUGCGUAGAUAUGUGGAGGAAUACCGAUGGCGAAGGCAGCCCCCUGGGAUAACACUGACGCU